rnacentral:tRNA from 1 species
GCGAAUAUAAAUUAAUGGUAAAUUGUUUGCUUUCCACGCAAUUUAUGUGAGUUCGAAUCUCGCUAUUCGCA